UGAACUCCACAUCCGCAUCCUUUGCUGAGGAUACGGUUAACGGAGCGAAAGCGACGUUCAACCGCAAAACAAGCAGAGGGGGCUUAGUGGUGGGGUGACUGCGUACCUUUUGUAUAAUGGGUCAGCGACUUAUAUUCUGUAGCAAGGUUAACCGAAUAGGGGAGCCGGAGGGAAACCGAGUCUUAAUUGGGCGUUAAGUUGCAGGGUAUAGACCCGAAACCCGGUGAUCUAGCCAUGGGCAGGUUGAAGGUUGGGUAACACUAACUGGAGGACCGAACCGACUAAUGUUGAAAAAUUAGCGGAUGACCUGUGGCUGGGGGUGAAAGGCCAAUCAAACCGGGAGAUAGCUGGUUCUCCCCGAAAGCUAUUUAGGUAGCGCCUCGUGAAUUCAUCUCCGGGGGUAGAGCACUGUUUCGGCUAGGGGGCCAUCCCGGCUUACCAACCCGAUGCAAACUGCGAAUACCGGAGAAUGUUAUCACGGGAGACACACGGCGGGUGCUAACGUCCGUCGUGAAGAGGGAAACAACCCAGACCGCCAGCUAAGGUCCCAAAGUCAUGGUUAAGUGGGAAACGAUGUGGGAAGGCCCAGACAGCCAGGAUGUUGGCUUAGAAGCAGCCAUCAUUUAAAGAAAGCGUAAUAGCUCACUGGUCGAGUCGGCCUGCGCGGAAGAUGUAACGGGGCUAAACCAUGCACCGAAGCUGCGGCAGCGAACGUAUCACCCAAGACAACUUUACGGAGUUGGCGAUUGACGGAGCG
rnacentral:rRNA from 1 species